GAUGGGACCCGGCUACAACUACUUCGAGAGGGGCAAUCUCGACAUUUUCAGCGGCCGUGGCCCCUGCCUCACAGCCCCCGUCUGCGCCAUGAAUCUCACCUCCGACGGGUCGGGGCCCCACCACGGCUGGUACUGCAACUACGUCGAGGUCACCACAACUGGAGUCCACACUCCCUGUGCCCAGAAGCAGUUCACCGUCGAGCAGUGGCUCGCCCGUGAUGCGGCGCCGUUUGAACUCACGGCUAUUCGUAAUGAAUGCCCGUCCGAUGUUAUGGGGCUCCGCGAUCCUGUGGAG
rnacentral:lncRNA from 1 species